rnacentral:rRNA from 1 species
GACGAACGCUGGCGGCGUGCCUAAUACAUGCAAGUAGAACGCUGAAGGAGGAGCUUGCUCUUCUGGAUGAGUUGCGAACGGGUGAGUAACGCGUAGGUAACCUGCCUGGUAGCGGGGGAUAACUAUUGGAAACGAUAGCUAAUACCGCAUAACAGUAGAUGUUGCAUGACAUUUACUUAAAAGGUGCAAUUGUAUCACUACCAGAUGGACCUGCGUUGUAUUAGCUAGUUGGUGGGGUAACGGCUCACCAAGGCGACGAUACCUAGCCGACCUGAGAGGGUGGACCGCCAACAUGGGACUGGGACACGGCCCCGACCCCUACGGGAGGCAACAGUAGGGAAACUUUGGGAAUGGGGGGAAAGCUUACCGGACAAAGCCGGGUGAGUGAAGGAGGGUUUCGGAUCGUAAAGCUCUGUUGUAAGGGAAGAAAGAGUGUGGGAGUGGAAAGUUCACACUGUGACGGUACCUAACCAGAAAGGGACGGCUAACUACGUG